UACGGAGGGUGCAAGCGUUGUUCGGAAUUAUUGGGCGUAAAGCGCGUGUAGGCGGAUUUGUAGGUCAGAUGUGAAAGCCCUCGGCUCAACUGAGGAAGUGCAUCUGAAACCACAAGUCUUGAGUACGAUAGAGGAGAGUGGAAUUCCCAGUGUAGAGGUGAAAUUCAUAGAUAUUGGGAAGAACACCGGUGGCGAAGGCGGCUCUCUGGAUCGAUACUGACGCUGAUACGCGAAAGCGUGGGGAG
rnacentral:rRNA from 1 species